AAUGAACGUUGGCGGCGUGGAUUAGGCAUGCAAGUCGAGCGAGAAGCCUCCUUCGGGAGGUGGACAGCGGCAAACGGGAUAGUAAGGCAUCGGUAACGCACCCCCAGGACCGGGAUAGCCGAGGGAAACUUCGGGUAAUACCGGAUAAUAUCUCCGGAUCAAAUGGUGAGAUUCCGCCUGGGGACCGGCUGAUGUGAUACCAGCUAGUUGGUAAGGUAACGGCUUACCAAGGCUUAGACGUCUAGGGGGUGUGAGAGCAUGGCCCCCAUCACUGGGACUGAGACACUGCCCAGACACCUACGGGUGGCUGCAGUCGAGAAUCUUCGGCAAUGGGCGAAAGCCUGACCGAGCGACGCCGCGUGCGGGAUGACGGCCCUUGGGUUGUAAACCGCUGUCAGAGGGGAUGAAAUUCCAGGAAGCUAUCUUCUUGGAUUGACAAAGCCUCAGAGGAAGCCCGGGCUAAGUACGUGCCAGCAGCCGCAGUAAUA
rnacentral:rRNA from 1 species